UAUGGCUCAGGAUGAACGCUAGCGGCAGGCUUAACACAUGCAAGUCGAGGGCAGCGGGAUGUAGCAAUACAUUGCCGGCGACCGGCGGAUGGGUGCGUAACGCGUAUGCAACCUACCUUAUACAGGGGAAUAACCUUUCGAAAGGGAGACUAACACCCCAUGGUAUUGAUUUAAGGCAUCUUAGAUUAAUUAAAUAUUUAUAGGUAUAAGAUGGGCAUGCGUAUGAUUAGCUAGUUGGUAAGGUAACGGCUUACCAAGGCGACGAUCAUUAGGGGUUCUGAGAGGAAGGUCCCCCACACUGGUACUGAGACACGGACCAGACUCCUACGGGAGGCAGCAGUGAGGAAUAUUGGUCAAUGGGCGCAAGCCUGAACCAGCCAUGCCGCGUUGCAGGAAGACGGCCUUAUGGGUUGUAAACUGCUUUUACAUAAGACUAACCGUAUAUUUGCGAAUAUACCUGAAUGUAUUAUGAGAAUAAGGAUCGGCUAACUCCGUGCCAGCCGCCGC
rnacentral:rRNA from 1 species